rnacentral:rRNA from 1 species
GGCGGCGUGCUUAACACAUGCAAGUCGAACGCGCAGCAUUCUGUAGCAAUACAGGGUGUGGGCGCGUGGCGAACGGGUGCGUAACACGUGGAUAACCUUCCUUCAGGUGGGGAAUAACCCAGUGAAAACUGGGCUAAUACCGCAUAACAUGACGAUGGCACAUGCUGUUGUCUUCAAAGGCGCAAGUCGCCAGAAGAGGGAUCCGCGGCCGAUUAGCUUGUUGGCGAGGUAAUGGCUCACCAAGGCUUUGAUCGGUAGCCGGACUGAGAGGUUGGCCGGCCACACUGGAACUGAGACACGGUCCAGACUCCUACGGGAGGCAGCAGUGGGGAAUCUUGCACAAUGGACGAAAGUCUGAUGCAGCAACGCCGCGUGGGGGAUGAAGCUUCUCGGAGUGUAAACCCCUUUCGACCCGGAAGAAUGCCCGCAAGGGUUUGACGGUACGGGUAUAANAAGCCCCGGCUAACUACGUGCCAGCAGCCGCGGUAAUAC